GUACGACGGAGGCGCGAGGGCUGUCGCUGACCUUCCGAGGUCGUGCACGCCCCCCCGCCCUCUCACACAAUCCACCUCACCCCUUGUGCAUCACCGCGUGGGUCCCCUUUGCGGGAGGGCUCACGUUUUCACAUAAAACUCGAUACAGUGUAGAACGUUUAUUUUUGCGAUCACACGCAAUAUCAAUACAACUUUCAACAACGGAUCUCUUGGCUCU
rnacentral:misc_RNA from 1 species